GUGAAUCAUCGAAUCUUUGAACGCAAAUUGCACUCUCUGGCAUUCGGGAGCGUAUGUCUGUUUGAGGGUUAGUAUAAAUAAAAAUCUAGGUGUUGUUGGUUUGUGACCCAUCGGAAUUGGGUUAUUUUUGAUCUUUUAAUAAGUGGAAGUGACCUAAAUUUGAUACCUUGUGCAUAUUAGACGUAAAUAAUAUUAUUUUUUUAUCCGUCUGGAGUUGCCAACUCUUUAUUAGGUAUGACCAUGCUUUUUGUGGCAUCGUAACUAUAA
rnacentral:misc_RNA from 1 species